UACGGAGGGUGCGAGCGUUGUCCGGAAUCACUGGGCGUAAAGGGCGCGUAGGCGGCGCGACAAGUCACUUGUGAAAUCUCCGGGCUUAACUCGGAGCGGCCAAGUGAUACUGUCGUGCUAGAGUGCGGAAGGGGCAACUGGAAUUCUCGGUGUAGCGGUGAAAUGCGUAGAUAUCGAGAGGAACACCUGCGGCGAAGGCGGGUUGCUGGGCCGACACUGACGCUGAAGCGCGAAAGCCAGGGGAGCGAACGGG
rnacentral:rRNA from 1 species